rnacentral:rRNA from 1 species
UACGUAGGUGGCAAGCGUUGUCCGGAUUUACUGGGCGUAAAGGAUGCGUAGGCGGACAUUUAAGUCAGAUGUGAAAUACCCGAGCUUAACUUGGGUGCUGCAUUUGAAACUGGGUGUCUAGAGUGCAGGAGAGGUAAGUGGAAUUCCUAGUGUAGCGGUGAAAUGCGUAGAGAUUAGGAAGAACACCAGUGGCGAAGGCGACUACUGGACUGUAACUGACGCUGAGGCAUGAAAGCGUGGGGAGCAAAC